rnacentral:lncRNA from 1 species
ACCACCUCCAAUCCUACCUUGUAAACCUAUAUCAUCAAGGUUCCUAUUCAAUUCAGGAACAUAUAUAACCCUUUCAAGGGUAUAGAUAUAUCCAUUUUCAAAUUUCAAUGUAAUGUUUCCUAUUCCCUCAACCUUGCAGGCUAUGUUAUUUCCCAUUACAACUUCUCCUCCAUUAAUUUUCUUAAAGUUCACUAGCCAACUUUUCUUAAAUGUUAUGUGAAAGGUACAACCAGAAUCCAAGAUCCAUUCUUGGAUCGGAUUUUCCUAGUUUGCCACAUUAGCAGAGUUGGAAUUAUAGAUUUGUUUGGUCACAGCAUACACAUCAACUGUUGUAGGAUCUGUAAGUUUUACAAUAUUUCCUUCAUCUAUCUCUUUUCCUUUCUGUUCCUUUCUUUUCUUAUAGCAAUCUUUAAUAAAAUCUCCAGAUUUCCCACAUCCAUAACAUUUUUUAUUUCUUGUCUUUGACAUAGACCUCCUCUACUUUUGAAUUUCUUUCUAUGAUUAUUUCUCUCAUUACUUUGAUUUUCUUGAGUCCUAUUUAAAGUCCUUCCUCAGACUAACAAAUUCUUAGGUCCAUUGCUUCUUUCAUUUUUAAGUUUAAGAUCUUUACUCCUUAGAGAGUCCAUCACUAUAUCUGGGGUAAGGGUGUCUCUGCCAUAUUUUAUGGCAGCUUUGACUUCCUUAUAAGUCUCAAGAAUAACAUUCUGUAAUACAACAACUUUAUAUUCUUCUGAAACUUUAUCACCAGCAUUGGUGAUAUCUUGAACUAGUUUAUUAAACGUAUCUAAGUUAUCUUCUAGAUCCUUAGAGGGGUCUAUCUUAAAGCUAAAAAAUUUCUCUAACAGGAAUAGCUUAUUAGGUAAAGACUUAACAAGUUUCUCUAGUUCAUCCCAUAAUGCCUUAUCAUUAUCAUGCUAACCUGCUUUCCUCAAAACUUGGUCAGAUAAGUGCAAUAAUGGAGGUAUAAGCAAGUUUAUCAGCUUCAUCCUUUUGAUCUUUUGUCAUGGUUUUAGGAAAUCUUGUGUUGUUGCUUUGGAAACCUUUUAUUGAACUAAGACGCCUACCAUUUUUUGUUGCCAAAU